rnacentral:tRNA from 1 species
AUCGAUGUGGUGUAAUUAGUGCAUGGUAAUUUUUCGUAUUACAGGAUUAUAGGGUUAAACUUAGCUUCGGUA